UCACAAAUAUCAAUAUUAUUAUUAUUAUUACUCGUUCUUCCCCUUAGACUCUGAGCACAGUAUGGGAUGGGGACGAUGUCUGACCUGACUGGACUGUUUUUACCCCCGUGUUUAGUACAGUGCCUGACACGUAGUGAGCAUUUAGAGACCACAAUUCUUCUUUUUCUACCUUGAAUGCUGAACAGCCCAACCAGAAAACAUCUGUUGCUCUUAAACUUAUUCCCCUGCUCUCCCCCAACUAUACAAUUUAGCAGAUACUAAAAACUGCAGAUUUAAUGACUCUUAAUAAACUCAUAUCUGGACCAGGGAUUAAAUUAUCGAACGGAUUGGAAUUUGUGUGAUUUUUAGCCGGUCUGAAGGUAACCUAGGACCUCUGGAGCCACAAUCAUUUUAUUUUAAGCGGUUUGGAUUACCCCCGGAUCUCAGAAACGGAAGCAUAAAGGAGACGUGUUAGAGUGCGGAGUUAGUGGCAGACAGCAGAAGAUGCUCCCGAUUAAAUGGGAAGACGUAUCGACGUGAGCAUCUUCUCCCAGCGCUACCAAACGUCUGAAGCGGUCCCCGCCGCUAGCUGACGAUUUCACCCUGGGCCAUCGGCCGCUGAGUGAUUCCUCCUUACGACGUCUGGUCCCUCCGUGGCAGAGUCAACCCGGCAUCGAAUUGAAAAAACCUGUAGAAUCGAAAGAAAAAAACCCUCCAGCCGAAUUUUCUCCACUAAAAUGAAACGGAUUCGACGCCAGCCGCCGCAGCACCUCACACUCUCCCCCAGAUCCGACCCAGCAGCUUUCUCCGGCUACAGUGAAUGUUGCCCGAAGAAGGAUUUUAAUUCGGUCAUUAUCGUCGUCUGCAUCGGGUUACAAGAAGCCAUCAGCAGAUUUGUGCUGAUGCAGAGAGAAGAGAAUUGCUAAAAAGAUAAUGGCAACUCCGUUCCCGUGAUAAUAUCUUAUCUUCAUUUGGAAGCCAUCUUGGUGCUAAAGUAUCCCCAAAGAUGAAGUGAGGUCUUCUUUCCGAACGUGACUGCGGGAAAAACGCCAUUGCUUCGGGACGAGGUUUCCCCAAGUAAAUCGAAUAUACUCUUCCGAUGAGAUCUAAUGAAUAAAACGAGGAAGAGCGGGAGGGGA